CCUACGGGAGGCAGCAGUAGGGAAUAUUGCUCAAUGAGGGAAACCCUGAAGCAGCAACGCCGCGUGGAGGAUGAAGGUUUUCGGAUUGUAAACUCCUUUUGUUAGAGAAGAUAAUGACGGUAUCUAACGAAUAAGCACCGGCUAAAUCCGUGCCAGCAGCCGCGGUAAUACGGAGGGUGCAAGCGUUACUCGGAAUCACUGGGCGUAAAGGGCGCGUAGGCGGGAUAGCAAGUCAGAUGUGAAAUCCUAUGGCUUAACCAUAGAACUGCAUUUGAAACUGUUAUUCUAGAGUAUGGGAGAGGUAGGUGGAAUUCUUGGUGUAGGGGUAAAAUCCGUAGAGAUCAAGAGGAAUACUCAUUGCGAAGGCGACCUGCUAGAACAUAACUGACGCUGAUGCGCGAAAGCGUGGGGAGCAAACAGGAUUAGAUACCCCAGUAGUC
rnacentral:rRNA from 1 species